GAGAAAAACAAGAACUAGGGUCAGCUUGUCUCAGAAGCAGGGUGGCCUAGAGUUGAACUGAGCCCAAGUUAGAUCAUGUGUGCCAAUGUAAACCAACCAGUGAAAUUGCUUUGUGUGACUGUUGCCAACUGCCUCUGUAAUUUUCCCUAUAAAUACCUUCCCCUAAUUGGGCUCGGGGUCGCCUCCUCUGUCUCCUGUGUGAGAUAGGUGUCAUCCCAAGAGCUCUGGUUCCUCAAAUACUCCUCUUCUUUAUUACAUCAGGAUUGGUUUCUCGUGAGUUCUUGGGGGGUUGUGUUAUCUCGAGAUUUGAGUGGGGGUCUUCACCACCCAGGUGGACUUUAAUUUGGGGGCUCAUCCAGGAUCUCUCAACCACCCACGACUCUAAAGACCUUCUUGGAGAUGCUUUCUGGAGUUGUAAAGCUCAGAAGCUGUGGCUGACAGAUGUGUCCAGAGGACUGCAAGCUACAGCCCUGGGGAUGCUUCAGAGCAACAGGAGAGCGAGGGAUUCCUGGUGGUCUCCUAUCCGGUAGAAGAGGAUAGUGUGUUCCUCUUGGAAGAGAAACUUCAAAGACCUUUUCUAUCUGAAACUGUCUUUGCUGGUGCCUGCAGACUAGGCAUGGCAGUUGUAGUCUGGAUAUUGUGGAUAUUGUGGUCUCUUUGUGUUGUCUGCUGUUUAUCUGUUUAGUGUUUUUUGUGAUGAUGGGACAGAUGGUAAUGACCCCCUUAAGCCUGACAUUAGAUCAGUGGAGUGAAGUUAAGGACAGAGCACUUAAUAUGUCAGUUGAAGUUAAGAAGGGAAAGUGGCAGACUUUCAGUGUCGGCUGGCCCCCCAAGGGCUCUUUUGACCUGACUAUGAUUCUUGAUGAUAAAGCUAUUGUUUUUUUCAGGAAAAUCCAGGAGCUCACCGGGACCAGCAACCUUAUAUCUCAGUUUGGCAAAACCUGGUUCAAAAUCCCCAGCAGCCUCUGCUCCUCCUAAGACCUAUCCUGAGAUUGAAAAGACUCCUGAAUGGCCAUCUCCUCCCUCAUAUCCCCCAUUUUCUCCCCAGUGGCCUCUAUUCUCUGCUCCACAGGUAAAAGAAGCAUGGAGUAGAUGUUCGGUUACAGGUACCUGAAGCCGAAGGGCUUGGAGACCCACAGAGCCUGACUCCACAAUAACCAUGCCUUUGCACACUUAUGGUGUACCCAACCUUUUGAAUCCUCCGCCCCUCUGGAGGCAGACACUUCUGGUCCAGCCCAGGGGACAUGAAGUCGGCUAUCACUCACCCCUGACUCCUCUACUGGCCAGAUUCUUGUUUUUGCCUUGAAGGAUUAUAGACCUCCCCCAGGUCCAGGGAAGGGGAUGCAGCCACUUCAGUAUUAGCCUUUCUCCUCCUCUGAUCUUUAUAACUGGAAACUUAAUCACGGAACUAUUUCUUUUGUUCAUCAAAGAGUUUUACUUGGUCCUCUUGGUACUUAACUUAGAAGUUAAAAAUAAUUUGCUUGAGAAAAAUUGUUUUCUGCCAGGGAGUUUUAUCUUUCCCUCUUGAACCUCCUCCCCAUGGAGAGAUGCCCCUCCCUUUGCUGCCCUUGACCAGUCAAGCUGCUGUUGACAGUUGUGUAUGAAGGACUCCAGGUUAGUGAGUGACCCUGUCUGAAGCGGGUAUUAACAAGAACCUGAAAGCUUUAACUUGGAUCCUGAAGAGAAAUUCUACCUGUUGCUUAAACAUUCACAGCUUCUAAGAAAGGAACAGCACAGAGUAGGGAAGUGUGGGGCUGAGGGUGGCAAGUGCACAGGGAAGCAACCUGCAGGCUGUGCAUGGGCAGCAGCCUGAGCCAUUGGGAAAGAGUUUCAAGGUGAAGGGGCCACCAUCCAGGGAUGAUGCUUUGACAGCAAAAAGAGAGUGCCUUCAGAUAACUUUCUUUGAGAGAGCCUGCCUUCCUCCCCUUAUCUGCUGGCCCUAUUGCAAGAGAAGAGUCUGUCUCCAACAUUAAGUCACCUUCCCUGUUAAGUCAUCAUUGACAUGGAGAGUGCUGAGGGGAUCCUAUCCCCUCAGCAGCCAGUUCCUGCCCAUGUGGUCAAAAUGCCCCAGGUUGGGGGGCAAGGAAGCCCAUAAAAUAGUUUCAAAAAGAAUCUACUAAAGCUGUGAAGAACUUUGUUUUGCCAGUCAAAAUUUAGAUUUCAGGCUUUGGUUAUGGCCAAGGUCAGGAUUAAUGUUUUCUUUUCCAUGGGCCUUUAAUCCAGUGAGACAGUUUGGUAAAGGGCUGCUACUGAGGUCCUGAAUGUCCCAGGUGAACUGGUUACAAUUCUUAUGUCAGCCACUUGGCAUCUAACAGCCAGGACCUAAUCAUCUCUUCAUCAUUUUGUUAUUAGUUCUUACUAGAAGCCUAGUGUCAUUUGGAGGCUGGUUAUAUUGAGAGGCAAAGCCACCAAGCUGACACUGAAGAGAGAUACCCCUUGAGGGAAAAUCUAAGUCCUGAGAGACAAUCGGUAACAGAUCAACUGCCUCUCUGCCUGCCUUUCUGUUUCACAGGCAAAAAGCUUCUGCUUAUUUUUACAAUGGCCUUUUUGUCCCAAAAUGGCCUCCUGGUUUAGCUGUGUGACUAAAUGCUAUUUGUCCUCUUCAGUGGACCUCUAUUCUCUAGAUUCUCUUCUUGUUUUGUCACCAUCCCACUUGAGAUGCCUGUUAGUAACUGUUCCGGGUCUUCUUUACCACCAAGGAAAGACAGAAUCCCACUAGAGGCCAGAAAAAAUGUUCCAGACAUGGAUGGAAAACCUUCACUCCUGACUGUUGACUUCCUGAAGGUAGGGAGUGCUCCUGGUCUACCACCAGGCUCCAAGGAUAGGUCUCUGAGGGGCUGGAAAAUGUCCUACUAAUCUGGCUAAGGUAAGAAAAAGAUAUAAAGAAAAAGUUACAGAAACUUGAUGGGUUAAGAUAAGUUGCUGAGAGAGUUAGUGUAAGUUGCAGAGAAAGUAAGGUUGAAGUAUGGUUCAGGGUCUGAGCACCUAAGUGGACAGCAUCUAGUAGCUGUAGAGGAAGAUGCAGAAGAUAUCAUAACAGAGAGACUGAGGAAGAGAAAGAGGAAAGAAGGUAAAAAGAGCAGGAAGCUAGGGACAAAAAAGAGACAAAGAGAAGAGGAAGUUAGAGAGCUAAAGAGAGAUAAAAGACAGGAGAGGAACAUAUACUGGCAACAGUAGUUAUGGAAUCUAGGAAGACAUUACCUGGCAACAGAAGAGAAUUCCUGGCUAAAGAUCAGUGUGCCUACUACAAAGAAAAAGGACACUGGGUCAAGGACUGCCCCAGGAAGAACAAGGGGCCUCUCCAGUGGCCAGAAGGCCUAGAGUGCUGUCUAUGAGCAAAAAUAGAAGGGAAGCCCAUCCAAUUGUUUUGUGAAUAUGGGGGUCCAACACUCUGUGCUCCUAUGAGGAAAUAGGCUAGUGUCCAGCAAAAGACCUUGAGUACAGGGUACCACCGGCAACAAACAAUACUCAUGGACUACCCGAAGAACGGUGGACCUUGGCAUGGGCCAGAUAUCCCACUUGUUCCUUGUGAUUCCAGACUGCCCCUAUGAGUCUGAACCUGGCAACCCUGCUCCGCACUCUGAACUAGACCCCCCCUUCAUGACUAUUAGCAGGUGCUCGCUAAAGCACAGGGGCGUUAUCAAGAUCUGACUGAAGAGCCACCAGAGGGGGUAGAUGAUAUCUGGUCCAUAGAUGGGAGGCAGCUUCUUAGAGAAGGAAAAAGAUGGCCUGAGGCAGCAAUGGUAGAUAGAAACAGAGUCAUAUGGGCUCAGGCCCUACCAGAAGGCACCUCUACUCUGAGGGUAGAGCUCGCUCCCCUCACCAAAGCUCUUGAGCUGAGAAAGAGACUUAACAUCUAUGUGGACAGCAGGUAUGCCUUUGCUAUAGCCCAUCAGCAGAGGGGCCUACUGAUAUCUGAGGGCAAGAAAAAAAGAGCUUCUGGCUAUGUUAAGGGUCCUCCAUGACACAGCGAGGCUGACGAAGAGACUCUUGUAUAACUCAAUGGGAAAAAAGAUCCUGCUACAAAAGGAGGCAGAGGCCAUGAUAAAACAAAUGCAUCAAUGGACUCACUUAGGGGUAAGCAAACUCAUCCAGAUGUUUUCAAAAACUAAAUAUUAUGUCACAGCUGUCAAGUAUCUUGUGGAACAGAUAGUGCACUGAUGUAUACCAUGCCAAAAGGUAACUGUUUUCAGGAAAGUUGACUCUGGAAGGAGGCUCCAUGGGGAACGACCUGGAUCCUACUGAGAAGUGGACUUCACAGAGAUAAAACCAGGAAAAUAUGGUUACAAAUAUCUCCUAGUGUUUAUAGAUACCUUUUCAGGACUAGGUAGAAGCUUUCCCCACCAAGCAAGAGAUGGCCUCGGUAGUCAUCAAGAAGAUACUGGAAGAAAUCUUCCCCCUGUUUGGAGUGCCCAAGGUAAUUGGGUCAGGCAGUGGCCCUGCCUUCAUUCCCAAGGUAAGCCAGGGUUUGGCCAGGCAUUUAGAGGUCGAUUAAAAAAUUAUAUUACAUCUUCAGACCUCAAAGUCCAGGACAGGUCGGGAGAAUAAAUAAAAUUCUAAAAGAGGCCCUGACCAAAUUGACCAUGGAGACUGGCACAGACUGGGUGACACUUCUUCCCUCUUGCUCUAUUCAGAGCAAGAAAUGCCCCUUCCAGAUUCAGCCUUACCCAUGCCCCCAAAGAGACUACAGAGUUCUGAGCAGGUAAAAAAAGAUAAAUAGAACUCUAAAAGACACCUUGACAAAAUUGGACUUAGAGACGGGUUGGGGGAAGACUGGACUGUCCUCCUUCCUAUUGUUCUGUUCCACGUACCGAACACUUCUCACCCUUUUGGCCUAAUAUCUUAUGAGAUUAUGUAUGAGAACCCUCCCUCAUUAAGUUGGGCGGGGUCCCUUACCCUGAGGUUUUUCCUAAAAUGUGUUUGCUCAUUUAAAGUCUUUAGAAACAGUCCAAAGUGGAAUUUGGAGCCAAGUGAAGGACGCCUACAAGAUGGGAAGUCCAGGGCACCUCACCAAUUCCCAGCAGGAGACACAGUCCUGGUCCAGCAACACCAGGCUGAGAAUUUAUAACUUCACUGGAAAGGACCCUAUCUAGUACUGUUAACCACUCCCACUGUUGUUAGGUAGAUGGGAAUGCUGCAUGGGUCCACGCCUCCCAUUUGAAGACAGCACCAGAUAUUCUCAGAAAUGAAUGGAAGUUAGAAAAGACUGCUAAUCCUCUUAAGCUUUAUCUCUGCUGUAAGAGCUUAUAAUCCCCAUAUCCCUCAGAAACUGAUUUGGCAAAUUUCCUCCCAGACAUGGGAGGUAAUAUGGUCCAUCUCCAAGGUGGUCCCACCAUACACAUGGUUGCCCACUCUCACCCCUGACAUUUGUAAGUUGGUAGCUGGGCUGGACACCUGUGAAACUCCUGACACAGAUCCUCAGAGUAUGCCCUUAAAAGUCCCAAAGAGAUUUUCACCUGGGAGCAGGUUCAGAUGCGGAAGUCCAGAAGCAAGUUGCCAAUUGGGGAGACUGGGGUUUUAGGUUUGCCCCCGAGAUGGCCGAGACUGGGCUACCAUCCGACGUUGUGGGUGCUUAGAAAGUUUAUACUGUUCUGCUUGGGGAUGUCAGACUAAUUUCCACACUCCCAGGACCCUUAGUAAUUCUCUUGUUACUUUUGACAUUUGGACCCUGUAUUUUUAAUAAGUUUAUAGCCUUUAUUAGAGAAAGAGUUAGUGCAGUGCAGAUUUUAAUGCUUUGCCAACAAUAUCAUGCCUCAGAAGACCUUAGGGGAAAAAUUGAAGAAGGCCCUGAGUUCUAAGAUUAGAACUAGUCACAAGCAGAAGUGAGGAAUGAAAGAAUAAAAAUUUUAAAAUAUCCCCCACUGACCAUGCUGUGAGGACACGUGUAUCUCACUGCAAAGAAUAACAUAACAUGUUUUGGGGAUGUAGCCUGGCUAUAGCCACCACAAACCAUCGAUAAGGCCUGACUUGAGUCCUGAGAAAAACAAGAACUAGGGGCAGCUUGUCCCAGAAGCAGGGUGGCCUAGAGUUGAACUGAGCCCAAGUUAGAUCAUGUGUGCCAACGUAAACCAACCAAAGAAAUUGCUUUGUGUGACUGUUGCCAACUGCCUCUGUAAUUUUCCCUAUAAAUACCUUCCCCUAAUUGGGCUCGGGGUCGACUCCUUUGUCUAAUGUGUGAGAUACAUGUCGUCCCCAGAGCUCUGGUUCCUCAAUUACACCUCUUGUUUAUUACAUCAACACAGGUUUCUCCUUAGUUUUGGGGGGUUUCUGUCGUCUCGAGAUUUGAGUGAGGUUCUUUCCCAUCCUAGUGGUCAUUUAACCUCUCCCUGUGUGGAAGAGCAACCCCACCAAUGUGAUUUAAAAACCUUAUACCUUCAGGCUAUUGCAUCAGUCACUUUGUCAAUCAGUGCUCUGUGGGUGGCGCUCCUGAGGUAAGGCCACUAUGGGUUCUUACAUCAUUAUGGUAUGUUGGCCAGGAAUCAUGCUCCCCCAGACCACAAUUGGGGAAGAGAUCAGAGAUAAGCUCAAGCAAAUCUGUAGUCUGUGGGCUGCACUCCUGUAUUAAGGCCACUUUGGUGUCUUACAAAAGAACAAGAGUUCAAAUUGUUCCCUUUCCAGUCACAUUUCUAAGCCUUUCUUUAUCUUCAGAUGAUCCUUGAAAAAUUCCUUGAGGUUUGGACAAAAAAAAAGAACCCAAUAGGACGUGCCCA